rnacentral:rRNA from 1 species
GAUGAACGCUAGCGGCAGGCCUAACACAUGCAAGUCGAGGGGUAGAACACUUCGGUGUUUGAGACCGGCGCACGGGUGCGUAACGCGUAUGCAACCUACCUCAUACAGGGGAAUAGCCCAGAGAAAUUUGGAUUAAUGCCCCAUAGCAUUACGACUUGGCAUCAAGAUGUAAUUAAAGUUCCAACGGUAUAAGAUGAGCAUGCGUCCCAUUAGUUAGUUGGUAAGGUAACGGCUUACCAAGACGAUGAUGGGUAGGGGUCCAGAGAGGGAGAUCCCCCACACUGGUACUGAGACACGGACCAGACUCCUACGGGAGGCAGCAGUGAGGAAUAUUGGUCAAUGGUCGCAAAACUGAACCAGCCAUGCCGCGUGCAGGAAGACGGUCCUAUGGACUGUAAACUGCUUUUAUACAGGAAGAAACCCUCCCACGUGUGGGAGCUUGACGGUACUGUAGGAAUAAGGAUCGGCUAACUCCGUGCCAGCAGCCGCAGUAA